AGCGAACGCUGGCGGCAGGCUUAACACAUGCAAGUCGAGCGGGCCCUUCGGGGGUCAGCGGCAGACGGGUGAGUAACACGUGGGAACGUGCCCUUCGGUUCGGAAUAACUCAGGGAAACUUGAGCUAAUACCGGAUACGCCCUUUUGGGGAAAGGUUUACUGCCGAAGGAUCGGCCCGCGUCUGAUUAGCUAGUUGGUGGGGUAAUGGCCCACCAAGGCGACGAUCAGUAGCUGGUCUGAGAGGAUGAUCAGCCACACUGGGACUGAGACACGGCCCAGACUCCUACGGGAGGCAGCAGUGGGGAAUAUUGGACAAUGGGCGCAAGCCUGAUCCAGCCAUGCCGCGUGUGUGAUGAAGGCCUUAGGGUUGUAAAG
rnacentral:rRNA from 1 species